CAGGGCAGAAUACAAAGCUUUGUCUGAAAGCCAAGAAAAAAACUCAAACCAACUUAAAAAGGCUCAAAGAACAAUCAUAAAACUUAACUUGGCUGCAAAGGAAGGUUUAUCUAGAAGAUAAAAUACAAUCAGAGAAAGGGAGAUAAACAAAAUUUUCACUUGUUUCAGGUUCCAUGACCACCAAACAGUCUUUUCUUUUGUCACAGGGUUGUGUCUGGAGGUAGAAACAACAACAACAACAACAUAUAACAAGUCCAAGAGAAAUUUUGCCCAGAUCCACACUUGCAUGCCAGAUGGCAGCUGCGGAGGAGUUUCAAGUUCUAGCAGCAAUGGAUGGGAAGAUAAGUGCCUCUUGAGAAGGGGAAGCCAGAUUGCAGAUUCCUUUCAAUUGCACCUGAUGACUUAUUGCCAGUUACUAAUUGGUUUGCCCAUACGCAGGCAAUUCAGAAUCCAGCAGCAAUGCCUGAAUUUGUCUGGAGCUCUGUUCUUCCUGCAGAGAUCACUGCUGAAAUAAAUCCUUGCAGAGAAAAAUAUUUUAUAUGAAGCUCUGGGAAAAGCACACAUAAAGUGUGUGGGGGUUGUUUGGUUUGGUUUUUUGUUUGUUUGGUUUUUGUUUUGUUUUACUUUUUGUAACUGCUGUGUCAAGAUUUUUUUGAUUUUUUUCCUUCAGGAGAGCCACAAAAUCUUGUGUAACUGUCAUUGUUAGUUAUUACUGCAAAAUAGUGUAGCUGGCUGUGUUGUGCUAACAGUUGACAAUAUAUGCAUAUUUAAAACAGAGACAGAAAUGAUAAGUAGAGCUUUGUCUAUUUUUCAUUAAAGAUAAGAAUGUUUUCAUAAAAAUCUUCCUUUCCCACAUAUUUCUGAGUGCAUUUUCAUUUUAGUCCUGGGUGGGGCACUUUACUUACUUUGACAGCAGCCUGAGAACCAAGCGAUCCAGCUAUGAAAAGCACAGAAUAACUCAGGAAGGAGAAACUGCUGGUUAUUUUCACCACUUGAAGGCCAUGAGCAGC